GGCUCCUCCCCGACGAACCCCAUUCCUGCUUUCCCGCUCAAAUGUUGCAUUUUCUAAGACCUCCCUGGCCCGCCAUACGCCGAUCCUGAACCUACGAAAACCCAAGACUGCGGGCACGGUGGCUCAUGCCUGUAAUCCCAGCACUUUGGGAGGCCGAGGCGGGCAGAUCACGAGGUCAAGAAGUCGAGACCAGCCUUGCUAACAUGGCGAAACCCUGACUCUACUGAAAAUACAAAAAUUAGCUGGGCGUGAUGGCGUGCGCGCCUGUAGUCCCAGCUGCUCGGGAGGCUGAGGUAGGAGAAUCGCUUCAAUCCGGGAGGUGGAGGUUGCGGUAAGCAGAGAUUGCGCCACUGCACUCUAGCCUGGCGACAGAGACUCCUUCAAAAACAACAACAACAACAACAACAACAACAAAACAAAACCUCCCAAGACCCUAGUGGGCAGACACACAGCCAGCCAGACAUGGAGAGGAGCACAUUAGCAGAAGAAGACGCAAGUGGCUGGUCCUCGAGAGGACGUUGAGAGGAGCAUGCCAGCAGAAGAGCACACAACGACAGGCACCGACACACCACCGGCAGGCCAUGCACCAGCAGAAUGAUGCGGAGUUUGACGGGGCAGUCAGAGAAGAGCCUGGGCCGCCAAGGGGCCCGACUCCAGGGGAAAACCACACCGCACCCGGCCAACAUCAGCAUUUAGAACCUAAACCCUAAAUAAAAUCUAACUCACUCUUUAAGCUUUGGCACAAAUGUCGUUUCUUAUUUGCUCUGAUGUGGGUCAGUCUUCCUUCAUGCUCCCGUAAGUAUCAGAGUUCCUUCAAUCAUUUGCACAUAUCUGUGUUAUAAUGUUGAACUGUAAUUAUUUAUUUAAUUUUCAGUCUCUCUCCUUUAGGCAGUGAGCUCUCCAAGGACAAAGGCAUAUUAUUUGUUUAGCUAGCUUUUAGAGAUAGGGUCUUGCUAAGUUUCCCAGGCUGGAGUGAAGUGGCUAUUCAUAGGUGAGAUCCCACUAUUAAUUAGCACAGAAAUUUUGACCUACUUCAUUUCUGACCUGGGCCAGUUCACCUCUCCUUAGGCAACCUAGUGGGCCUCACUCCUGGGAGGUCAUGAUAUUGAUGCCAGUUUAGUGUGGACACCCAGUGAGCAUAGCUCACUACAGCCCAGAAGUUCUGGGCUCAAGCUGUCCUCCUGCCUCAGCUCCCAAGUAUCUGGGACUACAGGUACAUGCCACCAUGUCCAGCAACAAAGACAUAUUUUAGUUAUCCUGUGUUUGUGUCUGUCUCAAUACCUAGCCUUAGUAUAAACAUUUAGCAAAUGUUUAUUGAUGAAAUGGAUGAAGUCCCACCUCCCAUUUUGGACCACUUGCCCUUCUCAGAA
rnacentral:lncRNA from 1 species